rnacentral:rRNA from 1 species
CAAGAUUAAAACUCAAAGGAAUUGACGGGGACCCGCACAGCGGUGGAUGAUGUGGAUUAUUCUAUGCACGCGAAAAACCUUACCUACCCUUGACAUGUACGGAAUCCUGCUGAGAGGUGGGAGUGCCCGAAAGGGAGCCGUAACACAGGUGCUGCAUGGCUGUCGUCAGCUCGUGUCGUGGUGUUGGGUUAAGUCCCGCAACGAGCGCAACCCUUGUCCCUAGUUGCUACGCAAGAGCACUCCAGGGAGACUGCCGGUGACAAACCGGAGGAAGGUGGGGAUGACGUCAAGUCCUCAUGGCCCUUAUGGGUAGGGCUUCACACGUCAUACAAUGGUCGGAACAGAGGGUCGCCAACCCGCAAGGGGGAGCCAAUCCCAGAAAACCGAUCGUAGUCCGGAUCGCAGUCUGCAACUCGACUGCGUGAAGCUGGAAUCGCUAGUAAUCGCGGAUCAGCAUGCCGCGGUGAAUACGUUCCCGGGUCUUGUACACACCGCCCGUCACACCAUGGGAGUGGGUUUUACCAGAAGUGGCUAGUCUAACCGCAAGGAGGACGGUCACCACGGGUAGGAUUCAUGACUGGGGGUGAAGUCGUAACAAGGUAACCGUA